rnacentral:rRNA from 1 species
ACAGCAGCCGCCGCGGGAAUACGAAGGGUGCAAGCGUUACUCGGAAUUACUGGGCGCAAAGCGUGCGUAGGUGGUGGUUUAAGUCCGUUGUGAAAGCCCUGGGCUCAACCUGGGAAUUGCAGUGGAUACUGGGUCACUAGAGUGUGGUAGAGGAUAGUGGAAUUUCCGGUGUAGCAGUGAAAUGCGUAGAGAUCGGAAGGAACAUCUGUGGCGAAGGCGACUAUCUGGGCCAACACUGGCACUGAGGCACGAAAGCGUGGGGAGCAAACAGGAUUAGAUACCCCAGUAGUCCCUGUCUCUUAUAC